CUGUUAUGCAACAACUGGUAACUAAGACAGAUUUUGGUACCAAGAGUGAGGUGCUACCCUUACAAAAGUUUAAAUGAGAGAGUGGCUUUGAAAACAGGCAGUGGACAGAAGUGGAAAGACUUCGAGGAAAGUGUCAGUGAAAGCCUGAAGAACCUGCUAAGUAGAAGCCUUUGUGGAGGCCACAGGGCAGGUCUCCAGUGGGGCGCCCAGAUUUCAGAGAAACCACUGGAGGAGCCAGAGUGCAGCCAAGAUGCCCUGAAUGGAACUGAGAAGAUACGCAGGCCUAAAGGAGUACCACCUGGCCUACAGCCUUGAAUGACUGAUCUUCAUAACAUGUUAUCCCACUUCUUGAUCAUGGCUACUGGACCAGUGACCGACACCUGCUCAAGACUGGCCAAUCAUAUUUCCUCUUCCAUGCCUCUGGAAUCUGAACACUAAAAUGUUACUACACUUGGCAGCAAACCAAGGAGAGGUCAUGCAGAGCAAAGACUGCCAACUAGGAGUGAUAUAAACCAAUUGCGAUAAUUAAGAUCACCUGUUCUGGGGGAAGCCCGAUGCUAUUUCGUAAGGAGACUCAAGCAGCCCUAUGGAUAGGGCCACACAGCAAGAAACUGAGGCCUCUUGCCAACAACCAGCAGCAACUGGCUAGGUAUGUGAGUGAGCUGGCUUGGAAGCAGAUAUUUCAGACCCAGAGAAAUCUCCAGAUGACUACAGCCCCAGCUGACAUCUUGACUGCAGCCUCGUGAAAGACUGCGAGCCAGAAAUGCAGAGAAAAUACAGACAUUAAAUAUACAAUUACAAGUAUGA
rnacentral:lncRNA from 1 species